UAUGGCAAAGUCUACAAAGAUUAGUCCACUCUGUUCGUAACAGAUUCUAGUUUUGGAAAAAUAAAACUAUGUAGAUCAAAUGUUUCAUCGAUGAGAACAUUUGCAGAAUGUCGUCCAAAACCCAUCUCCCUCCAUCUUCUCCCACUGCCGGCCACUGGGUUUCCUCUCAUUAUCAGAUUUGGUAGUAAGUGGAAACGCCAACUGGAUGCUUCACAUUUAUACAUCCGGUGAAAUAUCUGGCUCAUUGUUUUAUCUGUGUCGUCACAUUCGUGAAACUAGAUAGCUAUAAACAAAGAUGGUGGAUUGUUAAAAAUAAUAAUACUACCUGAAAGAUAAGUAACAUCUUUCAUUUGUGGUACUACUCGCACAGCAGACAAAAUGACAAAAUUGGAAUUGUUGAAUAUAUUUCUUACGAAGAGAUUAACCGCGGCUGCCGAGGAGAUAUUUGGGGCUGUGAAGGGUACUAUAGUUGAGUACCAGACAGAAAUCGUUCGCUCCAAGGAGGAGAACAAUCGUCUCCGAAAGCUGCUGGAUAUCGCUGUUCAGCGCGUUCUACUUCAAACAGUUGAAUGUGCUGACAACAAAAUCACACAAAAAUAAUCAAUGGAAAUCCAAUUUAUCAACCCAUGGAGGUCUGGAUUUGGAGUCACACUCAAAAUUAAAGUGGAAAACCACACUACAGGCUGAUCC
rnacentral:lncRNA from 1 species